ACCUUGGCGGACUGCUCAGUAACACGUGGAUAACCUACCCUUGGGACUGGAAUAACCCCGGGAAACUGGGGAUAAUACCGGAUAGAUCAGGGAUGCUGGAAUGCACCUUGAUCCAAAGCUCCGGCGCCCAAGGAUGGGUCUGCGGCCUAUCAGGUAGUAGUGGGUGUAACGUACCUACUAGCCAACGACGGGUACGGGUUGUGAGAGCAAGAGCCCGGAGAUGGAUUCUGAGACACGAAUCCAGGCCCUACGGGGUGCAGCAGGCGCGAAACCUUUACAAUGUGCGAAAGCAUGAUAAGGGAACUCCGAGUGCCAGUAUCUAAUACUGGCUGUCCUUGUGCCUAAAACGCACAAGAUAGCAAGGGCCGGGUAAGACCGGUGCCAGCCGCCGCGGUAACACCGGCGGCCCGAGUGGUAGCCGCUAUUAUUGGGUCUAAAGGGUCCGUAGCCGGUUCGAUAAGUCCUCUGGGAAAUCUGGUUGCUUAACAAUCAGACUGCCAAGGGAUACUGUCGAACUUGAGACCGGGAGAGGUAAGAGGUACUUCAGGGGUAG
rnacentral:rRNA from 1 species